rnacentral:rRNA from 1 species
AUUGCACAAUGGGCGAAAGCCUGAUGCAGCGACGCCGCCUGAGGGAUGACGGCCUUCGGGUUGUAAACCUCUUUCAGCAGGGAAGAAGCGAAAGUGACGGUACCUGCAGAAGAAGCGCCGGCUAACUACGUGCCAGCAGCCGCGGUAAUACGUAGGGCGCAAGCGUUGUCCGGAAUUAUUGGGCGUAAAGAGCUCGUAGGCGGCUUGUCACGUCGAUUGUGAAAGCCCGAGGCUUAACCUCGGGUCUGCAGUCGAUACGGGCUAGCUAGAGUGUGGUAGGGGAGAUCGGAAUUCCUGGUGUAGCGGUGAAAUGCGCAGAUAUCAGGAGGAACACCGGUGGCGAAGGCGGAUCUCUGGGCCAUUACUGACGCUGAGGAGCGAAAGCGUGGGGAGCGAACAGGAUUAGAUACCCUGGUAGUCCACGCCGUAAACGGUGGGAACUAGGUGUUGGCGACAUUCCACGUCGUCGGUGCCGCAGCUAACGCAUUAAGUUCCCCGCCUGGGGAGUACGGCCGCAAGGCUAAAACUCAAAGGAAUUGACGGGGGCCCGCACAAGCGGCGGAGCAUGUGGCUUAGUUCGACGCAACGCGAAGAACCUUACCAAGGCUUGACAUGACACC